rnacentral:rRNA from 1 species
AGCAGCCGCCGCGGGAAUACAGAGGAUGCAAGCGUUAUCCGGAUUUAUUGGGCGUAAAGCGAGCGCAGGCGGUUAGAUAAGUCUGAAGUUAAAGGCUGUGGCUUAACCAUAGUACGCUUUGGAAACUGGAAAACUUGAGUGCAGAAGAGGAAAGUGGAAUUCCAUGUGUAGCGGUGAAAUGCGCAGAGAUAUGGAGGAACACCAGUGGCGAAGGCGGCUUUCUGGUCUGUAACUGACGCUGAUGUGCGAAAGCGUGGGGAUCAAACAGGAUUAGAUACCCGCGUAGUCCCUGUCUCUUAUACA